rnacentral:lncRNA from 1 species
GACCUUAGACAAGCACAAAACAGAGAAAUACCAACACAACAAUCACUCACUAGCUUCUGGUCUGCCAUGUGGUCAGUACCAGUUAUACACAACCAGAAAGCCUGCUGGAUUGCAGAAGAGGAGAUACACUCAUUAAACAUACCAGAAAUGCCCUACACCGCCAUUACAACAGAAGAACUCACAAACACAACAAGAUGCACACACAACUGGAAAGCCCCUGGUGUAGAUGCCAUCCAGAAUUUUUGGAACAAACAUUUUACUUGUCUUCAUGAGUUACUGGCCAAACAUCUCGCACAUCUCAUACAUGAAUCAA